rnacentral:rRNA from 1 species
CAUGCUGUAAACGAUGUCAACUAGCCGUUGGGGACCUUGAGUCUUUAGUGGCGCAGCUAACGCGAUAAGUUGACCGCCUGGGGAGUACGGUCGCAAGAUUAAAACUCAAAGGAAUAGACGGGGACCCGCACAAGCGGUGGAGCAUGUGGUUUAAUUCGACGAUACACGAAGAACCUUACCUGGACUUGACAUAGUAAGAACUUUCUAGAGAUAGAUUGGUGUCUGCUUGCAGAAACUUAUAUACAGGUGC